rnacentral:rRNA from 1 species
UACAGAGGUGGCAAGCGUUGUUCGGAAUUACUGGGCGUAAAGGGCGCGUAGGCGGUUCGUUAAGUCCUGUGUGAAAUCCCCCGGCUCAACUGGGGAACUGCACAGGAAACUAGCGGGCUUGAGUUCGGGAGAGGGAAGCGGAAUUCCGGGUGUAGCGGUGAAAUGCGUAGAUAUCCGGAGGAACACCGGUGGCGAAGGCGGCUUACCUGGACCGACACUGACGCUGAGGCGCGAAAGCUAGGGGAGCAAACGGG